UACGUAGGGGGCGAGCGUUGUCCGGAAUCAUUGGGCGUAAAGCGCGUGUAGGCGGCCCGGUAAGUCCGCUGUGAAAGUCCAGGGCUCAACCCUGGGAUGCCGGUGGAUACUGUCGGGCUCGAGUCCGGAAGAGGCGAGUGGAAUUCCUGGUGUAGCGGUGAAAUGCGCAGAUAUCAGGAGGAACACCUAUUGCGAAGGCAGCUCGCUGGGACGUUACUGACGCUGAGACGCGAAAGCGUGGGGAGCAAACAGG
rnacentral:rRNA from 1 species